CAGAAGGUAGGUGCGCCUCCGGAAAUAGCGUGUUUAUUAGAUGAAAUCCGGCGAGAAAAUGAUCUUUGCAAGCGAGACGCUAUCUCUACAUGCUUGGGAGCUGAUCCCGAGCUCGACGAGUUCAUGGAAACCUAUUGCGCUGUGUUGGUGAAGUAUAAAUCUGAUCUCGAAAGGCCUUUUGAUGAAGCUACCACUUUCUUGAACAAGAUUGAAAUGCAGCUUCGCAAUCUCAGCACGAAUGCCUCCAUUAGAAAUUUCUCUGAUGAAGGUGCACAAUCAUCAGGAGAGGAGUUGAGUGGAGGAGAAUUAGAGGUACAUGAAGAUCAACCAAGCAAUGAAGACAGAGAUCUUAAGGAUAAACUUCUGCGCAGGUUUGGAAGUCACAUUAGUACGUUGAAGCUGGAGUUUUCCAAGAAGAAAAAGAAAGGAAAACUACCCAAGGAAGCAAGACAAACCCUUCUUGAAUGGUGGAAUGUUCACUAUAAAUGGCCUUAUCCAACUGAAGGUGAUAAGAGGGCGCUGGCGGACUCAACUGGACUAGAUCAGAAGCAAAUUAAUAAUUGGUUUAUAAAUCAAAGGAAACGACACUGGAAACCCUCCGAGAACAUGCAAUUCUCUGUCAUGGAUAAUCUUUCUGGACCUUUCUUUACUGAAGAUUGAGUUUCACAUGCAUUCUCAAACCUAAUAAUUUGUGUUAGCCUCCAGUAUAUUCUGCAAUGCAAACUUCAGUGGCAUUGAAAUGCUUAUGUCCCUUGGAAAAAAGAAUGGGGUAAAAAUUAAUUAUAUUUUGGCCAUGUACAUUCUCAUUUACGGACGUUGAUACUGAAAUGCUUACAUA
rnacentral:misc_RNA from 1 species